rnacentral:rRNA from 1 species
AACGAACGCUGGCGGCAGGCCUAACACAUGCAAGUCGAACGCUCGUAGCAAUACGAGAGUGGCAGACGGGUGAGUAACGCGUGGGAACCUUCCCAGUGGUACGGAAUAGCUCAGGGAAACUUGAGGUAAUACCGUAUACGCCCUUCGGGGGAAUGAUUUAUCGCCAUUGGAUGGGCCCGCGUCGGAUUAGCGAGUUGGUGGGGUAAUGGCGCACCAAGGCGACGAUCCGUAGCUGGUCUGAGAGGAUGAUCAGCCACACUGGGACUGAGACACAGCCCAGACUCCUUCGGGAGGCAGCAGUGGGGAAUAUUGGACAAUGGGCGCAAGCCUGAUCCAGCCAUGCUGCGUGAGUGACGAAGGCCCUAGGGUUGUAAAGCUCUUUUGGCGGGGAAGAUAAUGACGGUACCCGCAGAAUAAGCUCCGGCUAACUUCGUGCCAGCAGCCGCCGUAAAAC